AUGGGGAUCCACCGUGGCGCUCAUGACGUUCGGCAUCGCCACCUCCGGCCGUUCAAGACGGAGCUCCUGGAUAGUGCUGGCCUGGCUCCAUGCUUCGGACCUGGAGAGGAGGUGGCUGGCUCACACCGGAUGGCUUUGCAUCAAUCCAACUACACUGCUAGUCCCCGUUCAGGGAUCUUGAAGAAAAUACAUGUGGUUUUGGCAUCUUGUCAGCUGCCCAUCAAAUGUAAGCCUAUUAUGUUGUCCUUCAGUAGCAGUUCGACAAAAAAACUGCAGCAAUUCUACAUGGGAAACUAUGAUAUUUCAGGUCUGCUACUAUGUACGUUGCUUGUUGAUAUGCCAAUGAGUACAUACAUUUUGUGUUGGUUCUUUUCCCCUUCGGCUUUCUCUGCCAUGGAUGUGUGCAUGCGUGCUAUGUACGUGAGUGCGCUACAGCAAUUUGUGUAA
rnacentral:rRNA from 1 species